CCUACGGGUGGCAGCAGUAGGGAAUUUUGCGCAAUGGGGGAAACCCUGAAGCAGCAACGCCGCGUGGAGGAUGAAGGUUUUCGGAUUGUAAACUACUUUUGUUAGAGAGGAUAAUGACGGUAUCUAACGAAUAAGCACCGGCUAACUCCGUGCAAGCAGCCGCGGUAAUACGGAGGGUGCAAGCGUUACUCGGAAUCACUGGGCGUAAAGAGCGCGUAGGCGGGAUUGCAAGUCAAAUGUGAAAUCCUAUGGCUUAACCAUAGAACUGCAUUUGAAACUGUUAUUCUAGAGUAUGCGAGAGGUAGGUGAAAUUCCUGGUGUAGGGGUAAAAUCCGUAGAGAUCAAGAGGAAUACUGAUUGCGAAGGCGACCUGCUAGAACAUAACUGACGCUGAUGCGCGAAAGCGUGGGGAGCAAACAGGAUUAGAUACCCUUGUAGUC
rnacentral:rRNA from 1 species